rnacentral:rRNA from 1 species
UGGGGAAUUUUGCACAAUGGGGGAAACCCUGAUGCAGCGACGCCGCGUGAUUUAGAAGGCCUUCGGGUUGUAAAAAUCUUUUCUAUGGGAAGAAAAUGACAGUACCAUAGGAAUAAGGACCGGCUAAUUACGUGCCAGCAGCCGCGGUAAUACGUAAGGUCCGAGCGUUGUCCGGAAUCAUUGGGCGUAGAGGGUACGUAGGCGGGUAAGCAAGUUAGAAGUGAAAUCCUAUAGCUCAACUAUAGUAAGCUUUUAAAACUGCUCAGCUUGAGGUAUGGAAGGGAAAGUGGAAUUCCUGGUGUAGCGGUGAAAUGCGCAGAUAUUAUGAGGAAUACCGGUGGCGAAGGCGACUUUCUGGCCAUAACCUGACGCUGAGGUACGAAAGCGUGGGUAGCAAACAGG